rnacentral:tRNA from 1 species
GGGCGAUUAGCUCAGUUGGUUAGAGUACUUGCUUGACAUGCAAGGGGUCACUGGUUCGAGUCCAGUAUCGCCCACCA